AACCCUUGACAUCCCUGUCGCGGUUACCGGAGACGGUUUCCUUCAGCUCGGCUGGACAGGUGACAGGUGCUGCAUGGCUGUCGUCAGCUCGUGUCGUGAGAUGUUCGGUUAAGUCCGGCAACGAGCGCAACCCACAUCCUUAGUUGCCAGCAGUUCGGCUGGGCACUCUAGGGAAACUGCCCGUGAUAAGCGGGAGGAAGGUGUGGAUGACGUCAAGUCCUCAUGGCCCUUACGGGUUGGGCUACACACGUGCUACAAUGGUGGUGACAGUGGGUUAAUCCCCAAAAACCAUCUCAGUUCGGAUUGUCCUCUGCAACUCGAGGGCAUGAAGUCGGAAUCGCUAGUAAUCGCGGAACAGCAUGCCGCGGUGAAUACGUUCCCGGGCCUUGUACACACCGCCCGUCACACCAUGGGAGUUGGUUCUACCUGACGACGCUGCGCUAACCUUCGGGGGGCAGGCGGCCACGGUAGGAUCAGCGACUGGGGUGAAGUCGUAACAAGGUAGCCGUA
rnacentral:rRNA from 1 species